GUACUCACUUCGGCAGCACAUGUAUCAAAACUGGAAUGAUAGAGAGAAGGUUAGCACGGCCCCUGUGUAAGGAUGACACACAAAUCUCUGAAGCGUUCCAUAUUUUU
ensembl:snRNA U6 U6 spliceosomal RNA